GUGAAAUUUUUGGGGCUGUCGGGAGGAGAAUAGUGGAAGGAGCGUCCAGGUGAAAUGAACUGUGCAGUCCUUUAGAGCCUCUGGACAGAAGGUCAUUUCUGCCACGCAGAAGCACAGAUCAGCUGAGAGCGAGGCACCAGAAGAAGGCCUAAGAGUUUCCAAAAGUGGGUUACUGCGAAUUUUUACCCAAGAACAUGAAGCCUGCUCAUGUGAGUGAUUUAAAAUGGCUUGUCCUUAUCAUGCUACACUGAUGUUUCCCAAAUAAGUCAUGGUUUUAGUUUUGUCAUUGUUUCUCUCCCAAAUCUGCCCUUCAUGAGAUUUGUAUCCUCCUUAAGUCUUAUAAUUAUACAAAGCUUCAAAUAGAAUUUCGUCUCAUAGUCCAAUCUUUUCUCCCCCAGAGUAUACUAUAUUUGAUGUUAUCUAUAAUCAAUCAAGGCUCAAGAAUCAAAGCAAUCAUGUACUUGUGCCAUUGUUUUAUAAUAGAGUAAUCAAUAUGCAAUGUAUACAGUUUAUCAUAGGCUAAUUUUCUCUCUUCUUUUACCCUGUAUAUCCAUUGAUAUUCCUGAAUGUGGUGUUAAAAUUUGCAUAUGAAAUGAUUUUAUUUUGUUUUUCAACAUAAGCUUUCAACUUGAAGUUUUCAUCAUUACCUUGGUCAACAUAAGCUAGACCCCAACUUUAAUAUUACUUACAUCACUUAUGAGUAAUAUAAUUAUAGGAGUCUAUUCCUUCAUUAGGCCUGAAAUUACAUUUUGAGCGUUAUACAUUACUUUGACUAUUUUUUUUUUGUUUUUUUGAGACGGAGUCUCACUUUGUUGCCCAGGCUGGAGUGCAGUGGCGUGAUCUCUGCUCAUUGCAACCUUUGCCUCCUGAGUUCAAGCGAUUCC